AAUUAUUCUGGAAUCAGACAAGCUUAAUAGAGGCAAACGUCACUUAAAUUUCAGCUUUAACUUGGCAAAACUCUCAACUCCACUCAAACAAUAACUCUAUCUUUCAGCUUAUUAUUGGACAAUUAACUAAAAAUUUCUUUUCAUUUCAUUACAUUUUUGGAUCAACCAAUAAAAAAUUUCGAAACUCACUGGCGAUCACAAAGCACAAGAUUCCUGCCAUCCAAGCAUAUAAAGCAACAUCUUCUUCGUCCUUCUUCCUCCGAGGUACCGACACCGGCACCGGCGCUAACGAAGACAUGAUUCUCGCUGGAUUCUUCGACGGUCUUUCCCGCCUCCGUUUCAUGUAAACGACUUUGUCACCUCCCCCAUAUCACCACCAUCUCCAUAAACCAAAACAUCAACGAGAUUCAAAUCCUCCGUUGGCGGAAACUUCCGGCAACAAAUUAAAGGUCCAGCAAAAAACAGCCUAGGCCUACGAAAUCGAGAUUGGUGGUGCUUUCUUCAUUACCACUAGAUUAAUCCAAAGGUAUUAUGGCAAAGGUUAACGAAGCAGCGGGGAUGGAAAUUGAUGAUCCAAAUUCAAACAUUUCUGACCAGAUCAGCCUCAAGUUCUCAAUCAAUGGUCAGUUCUUUGAUGUUUCUUUAUCGAAUUUUUAACUUCCACAAAUGCAUCAGCUGUAGUAAUUUGUUGGCAAGAUUCAUGCAAAUUAAUUGCAGUUGGUUUCCGUUUGGCUAAGUUGGCUAAUUGGAGGAUGACCUGGACGCCGGCCGCCGAUGAUGAUGACGGUCGGUUGUUUACUGAUGGGGGGUGUUAGAUUAAAAAGUUUGUAAUUCUUAAAGUGACUAAAAAAAGAAUAUUCCAUUUUGUAAAUUUUACAACAAAAUAUAAAAUUGCUGA